UACAGAGGGGGCAAGCGUUAUUCGGAAUUAUUGGGCGUAAAGGGCGCGUAGGCGGCUUGGCAAGUGGAUGGUGAAAUCCCUCGGCUUAACCGAGGAACUGCCGUCCAAACUGCUUUGCUUGAGACCGGGAGAGGUGAGUGGAAUUCCCAGCGUAGCGGUGAAAUGCGUAGAUAUUGGGAGGAACACCAGUGGCGAAGGCGGCUCACUGGACCGGUACUGACGCUGAUGCGCGAAAGCGUGGGGAGCAAACGGG
rnacentral:rRNA from 1 species